rnacentral:rRNA from 1 species
AAGUCGUAACAAGGUUUCCGUAGGUGAACCUGUGGAAGGAUCAUUAAAGAGUAAGGUCUCCGGCCCGAACCUCCAACCCUCUGUCGUUAUAACUACCACUGUUGCUUUGGCGGGACCGCCCCAAAGGCGCGUCGGUCCACCGACCGGCGAGCGCCGCCAGAGUCCAACCAAACACUUGUAUUAAACCAGUCGUCUGAGUACAAAAUUUUAAUUAAAUUAAAACUUUCAACAACGGAUCUCUUGGUUCUCGCAUCGAUGAAGAACGCAGCGAAAUGCGAUAAGUAAUGGAAUUGCAGAAUUCAGUGAAUCAUCGAAUCUUUGAACGCACAUUGCGCCCCUUGGUAUUCCGAGGGGCAUGCCUGUUCGAGCGUCAUUACACCACUCAAGCACAGCUUGGUAUUGGGCACCCGUCCGCGCGAGGCGGGCGUGCCUCGAAGACCUCGGCGUGGCCUUUCCGGCUUCGGCGUAGUAGAGUUAAAUCGAACGCCUCAUGGGUCCGGAUAGGUUCCACUUCUGCCGUAAAACCUCUUUAUUUUUCUAGGUUGACCUCGAUCAGGUAGGGAUACCCGCUGAACUUAA